GCCAUGAGCGGAAAGUCACGUGACCCAGCGCGGCGGCGGCGGCGGGGACAGCGAAGGGAGGGGUGAGAGAAAGACAGAGAGAAGGACGCCGCAACCAGUGAGAACGCAAGCAAUCUAUCAUACACGUGCUUAGAUAAGCCAUCUACAUUGUUUAGAAUGGUCUCCUGGAAGCCAAGAUGGCAGAGUAAGAAGUGAGUUGCUCUUACCCUCCCUUAUCAACCUCUGAAAGCCCAUAAAA